AAGCUUACACUGCAAGUCGAGCGGGGAAAGUAGCUUGCUACUGGACCUAGCGGCGGACGGGUGAGUAAUGCUUANGAAUCUGCCUAUUAGUGGGGGACAGCAUCUCGAAAGGGAUGCUAAUACCGCAUACGUCCUACGGGAGAAAGCAGGGGACCUUCGGGCCUUGCGCUAAUAGAUGAGCCUAAGUCGGAUUAGCUAGUUGGUGGGGUAAAGGCCUACCAAGGCGACGAUCUGUAGCGGGUCUGAGAGGAUGAUCCGCCACACUGGGACUGAGACACGGCCCAGACUCCUACGGGAGGCAGCAGUGGGGAAUAUUGGACAAUGGGGGGAACCCUGAUCCAGCCAUGCCGCGUGUGUGAAGAAGGCCUUUUGGUUGUAAAGCACUUUAAGCGAGGAGGAGGCUACUGGUAUUAAUACUACCGGAUAGUGGACGUUACUCGCAGAAUAAGCACCGGCUAACUCUGUGCCAGCAGCCGCGGUAAUACAGAGGGUGCGAGCGUUAAUCGGAUUUACUGGGCGUAAAGCGUGCGUAGGCGGCUUUUUAAGUCGGAUGUGAAAUCCCUGAGCUUAACUUAGGAAUUGCAUUCGAUACUGGGAGGCUANAGUAUGGGAGAGGAUGGUANAAUUCCAGGUGUAGCGGUGAAAGGCGUAGAGAUCUGGAGGAAUACCGAUGGGGAAGGCGGCCAUCUGGGCUAAUACUGACGCUGAGGUACGAAAGCGUGGGGGAGCAAACAGGAUUAAAUUACCCGGGUAGUCCAUGGCCGUAACGAAGGUCCACUAGGCGGUGGGGGCCUUUGAGGCUUUAAGGGGGCCCCCUUACCCUAUAAGUUAACC
rnacentral:rRNA from 1 species